ACACACACAGCACAAUUCCCAGACAAGGGAAAUCAGCCUUCAGCUUAGAUGCCUUUCAGCUCCUAUAAGCACAUGAUCCUGCUGGUAGAUUCAUCUGUUCUUUCUUCUUAAUUUCUUUUGCCCUCGCAAAGAAUACCCUAGCAUCCUUCUUAGAGUUCAGAGAGUGCACGCAUGCACUUGUGGGUGGAGAAAGGGCAGAGAGAGAAAGAGAGAAAGAGGAAGAAUCUUAAGCAGUUUCCACACUCAGCACAGAGCCCAACAUGGAGCUCAGUCUCAAAACCGUGAGAUCAUGACCUGAGCUGAAAUGAAGAGUCGGACACUCAACCGACUGAGACACCUAGGCACCCCAAGAGGUUCCUGAGGAACUCACUGUGUAUACCUUCCUUGUAUAUUCAAGGUGGAGAGCACUCAACUGUAUUUCAAGUUGCAAUCUGAUUAAAAGAUUGGAAAGCAAAUUUGCCAGUCUCCUUCUCCAUCAGAGUGUGAUUGAGCUUCUGCCAAUGAGACAGCAACUGCAUGAAUAUUUGGAAGGCAGGAGGAAGAGACAGAGCAUGAGCAGGGGAGGGGCAGAGAGACAGGGAGACACAGAAUCUGAAGCAGAACUUCCUUCUUAAUGUACUUCACACUUCACUUUCCAGGUCAGUGUCCACACUUGACUCUAAGCCCCAUAUCUACUGGGAUAUUAUCUAUCUUCUCUAUGCUUGGCCUCCUUAUUUGUGCUAUAAAUCCUGAAACAUAGUAGAAAUUUGAUAAAUAUUAUUUAAUCAAGUAGAAUGAAGUAUAUAAAAAUGAUUUUUUAAAAUGUGUAGCAGCUUCCUUUAAAAUGCUCAAGACUAGAGAUUUCAAAGCAUUCUAUCCAUACUGUCAUAAUCCACAUUUUACUUCUGUUUUGCAUAUUAGGAUUGUCUGUGAGUAUAUGCAUGUUGGGUGUUUGUGUGUAGGUAUGUGGUAGAGGGUGGAAAGUGUGGAGGGCGAAAAGAAACAAGGUAUUAUUGGCAAAGUCCAAUUAAUACGUAUUUUGGCCAGUAGUAUGGAAAGCACUAUGGGGGAUAAUUUGUCUUUCUUUUAUCAAAGACCUUGCCAUAUUCUGAAGUCUUUUCUAGUCUUCUUGGUAUAUAUACUCUAGAGAAUCCUAUAUACCAAAACAAAAAUCUUAUAAAAUGCAAAUAGAAAUUCCCUUGAGAAUAAAUCAUAGCAUACCCUGAUACCUUUGUCUUCCUUCAAAGAUGUGAGGAUAUGAGGAAUAUAUAAAACCUAAUCCCUUCCUGUGGUUUUAAGAAAAU